UUCGAUCAUUGACCAGAUUGAACGCUGGCGGGAUGUUUUACACCGCAUGCAAGUCGAACGGCAGCACGGACUUCGGUCUGGUGGCAAAGAAUGGCGAACGGGUGAUAAUGUAUCGGAGACGUACUAAUGCCAGGGGAUAGCUUCUCGCGAAAGCGUAGCUAAUACCUUAACUUCACGCGGAAAGCAGGACCUUCGGGCCUCGCACUAAUGGGCAGCCUGAUAUCAGGUUGGCUAGUUGGUGGGGUAACGGCUCACCCAAAUGACGAUCCGUAGCUGGUGAGAGGACGACCAGCUGCUGGGACUGAGACACGGCCCAGACUCUACAGGAGGCAGCAGUGGGGAAUUUUGGACAAUGGGGAAACCCUGAUCCAGCCAUCCCGCGUGUGCGAUGAAGGCCUUCCGGGUUGUAAAGCACUUUUGGCAGGAAAGAAACGGCACGGGGAUAAUACCCCCGUGCAACUGACAGACACCUGCAGAAUAAGCACCGGCUAACCACGUCGCCAGCAGCCGCGUAUACGUAGGUGCGGCGUUAAUCAAAGAUUACUGGGCAUAAAGCGUGCGCAGGCGGUUCGGAAAGAAAGAUGUGAAAUCCCAGAGCUUAACUUUGGAACUGCAUUUUUAACUACCGAGCUAGAGUGUGUCAGAGGAGGUGGAAUUCCGCGUAGCAGUGAAAUGCGUAGAUAUGCGGAGGAACACCCGAUGGCGAACAACCUCUGGGAUAUAACACUGACGCUCAUGCGAAAGCGUGUAAGGAGCAAACAGGAUUAGAUACCCUGGUAGUACGCCUAAACGAUGUCAACUAGCUGUUGGGGCCUUCGGGCCUUGGUAGCGCAACUAACGCGUGAAGUUGACCGCCUGGAAGUACGGUCGCAAGAUUAAGCCUCAAGGUGUGGGGACCCGCACAAGCGGUGGAUGAUGUGGAUUAAUUCGAUGCAACGCGAAAACAUACCUACCGCUGACAUGUCGGAAUCCCAGCGAGAUUUGGGAGUGCUCGCAGAGAACCAGACACAGGUGCUGCAUGGCUGUCGUCAGCUCAUGUCGUGGAUGUUGGGUUAAGUCCCGCAACGAGCGCAACCCUUGUCAUUAGUUGCACCGAAAGGGCACACUCUAAUGCAGACUGCCGACAAACCUGGAAGGUGGGGAUGACGUCAAGUCCUCAUAUUAUGGGUGGGCUUCACACGCCAUACAAUGGUCAGAGAAGGGGUCGCCAACCUACGCGAAGCCAAUCCCAGAAAACCCGAUCAUCGUCCGGAUCGCAGUCAGCAUCAGCUGCGUGAGAGUCGAAUCGCUAGUAAUCGCGGAUCAGCAUGUCGCGGUGAAUACGUUCCAGGUCUUGUACACACGCCCGUCCACCAUAUGAUGCUGGUUUACCAGAAGUAGUUAGCCUUAACCGUAAAGGAGGCGAUUACCACGGUAAGUUCAUGACUGGGUGAAGUCGUAACAAGGUAG
rnacentral:rRNA from 1 species